rnacentral:snoRNA from 1 species
AGGCCAUUUUAAAGAGGGCUCAUGGGACUGUGAAAACAAGAAGAGUUCUUACUACUGUUGACGAAAGACUGAAGUUCUCUACAGGUUGCCAAAGCAUUCAAUGGUGCUGUUUUCCUGAGGAGAUAAAAGA